rnacentral:lncRNA from 1 species
GGUUCGCGGUCCUAUAAGGCGCUGCUUGUUUAAGUACAUCGCAUUUAGUUGAAGCUGCAGGGGAGUGAGGGAGAGGAGGAUAGGAAGCAGGAAAGCGGGAGAGCUCGAGGGACAAGGGGGCUCGGUGUGUUUACACCAGGCACGGGCUACGAGCGUCCAUCCCGGCCCCUGGCUUGCGCUCCCGAAGAGGAGAGCAAGGCUGUUCUGGGAUCCGGCCGUCGUGCGGCAAGAGGCUUGUCUGUCCGGGUUGCCGGAACCAGGAGAACCCAGAGGGAAACCGAGGGAAAGGAGCGGCGCGUUUUACUAGAGAGAGCGCGAGCGGAAGAGGCGAGAGCAGGAGCGCGCGAGGGAGCAUCGAGCGCAGCGGAGACAUGAGGACCUACUGGCUGCACAGCGUCUGGGUGCUGGGCUUUUUCCUGUCCCUCUUCUCAUUGCAAGGAUUGGUUCUCCUGGCAACCAGCUACCAUCCUGAGGCUGUCCAGAAGUCCCCAGCCAUCAGUCUUCUUAUUGGCACACAAAAUGGCACUUGUCAGUUUGGAGAUUCCAGAGGUUUUAGGAGCUGUGUGCCAGAAAAUAGACAUGAAGACCAAUUAUGUAUAUUUGAUUAUAAAUCGCAAUAUUGUAUCUUCACUUUUUAUUCUUCAGGCUUCAAAUAAUAAUAUUAGAACCAGUUUCUGAUGAAAUAUGUUUUCUCUCAUAUAUGAUUUUCACUAAGGCCAGAGUAGAAUCUGCAUUUUAUUAUUAUUUUUAGUUUCAGUACAAAAUGGGUAUGAAUAGUUCAUAAAUUACAAGUGUAUAAGUAACUAUCACCCAGAUCAACAAAUGGGACAAUAUCAUUUCCCAGAAGUUACCCUAUGCCACUGUAC